GUUGGAGGGUUUCCGCCCUUCAGUGCUGCAGCUAACGCAUUAAGCACUCCGCCUGGGGAGUACGACCGCAAGGUUGAAACUCAAAGGAAUUGACGGGGGCCCGCACAAGCGGUGGAGCAUGUGGUUUAAUUCGAAGCAACGCGAAGAACCUUACCAGGUCUUGACAUCCUUUGACCACUCUAGAGAUAGAGCUUCCCCUUCGGGGGCAAAGUGACAGGUGGUGCAUGGUUGUCGUCAGCUCGUGUCGUGAGAUGUUGGGUUAAGUCCCGCAACGAGCGCAACCCUUAUUGUUAGUUGCCAUCAUUCAGUUGGGCACUCUAGCAAGACUGCCGGUGACAAACCGGAGGAAGGUGGGGAUGACGUCAAAUCAUCAUGCCCCUUAUGACCUGGGCUACACACGUGCUACAAUGGGAAGUACAACGAGUNGCGAAGUCGCGAGGCUAAGCUAAUCUCUUAAAGCUUCUCUCAGUUCGGAUUGCAGGCUGCAACUCGCCUGCAUGAAGCCGGAAUCG
rnacentral:rRNA from 1 species